rnacentral:rRNA from 1 species
AUUGAACGCUGGCGGCAUGCCUUACACAUGCAAGUCGAACGGCAGCACGGGUGCUUGCACCUGGUGGCGAGUGGCGAACGGGUGAGUAAUACAUCGGAACGUACCUUAUCGUGGGGGAUAACGCAGCGAAAGCUGUGCUAAUACCGCAUACGCCCUGAGGGGGAAAGCGGGGGAUCGCAAGACCUCGCGCGAUUAGAGCGGCCGAUGCCUGAUUAGCUUGUUGGUGGGGUAAAAGCCCACCAAGGCGACGAUCAGUAGCUGGUCUGAGAGGACGAUCAGCCACACUGGGACUGAGACACGGCCCAGACUCCUACGGGAGGCAGAAGUGGGGAAUUUUGGACAAUGGGGGCAACCCUGAUCCAGCAAUGCCACGUGAGUGAAGAAGGCCUUCGGGUUGUAAAGCUCUUUUGUCAGGGAAGAAACACCGGCUCUAACACAGUCUGGGAAUGACGGUACCUGAAGAAUAAGCACCGGCUAACUACGUGCCAGCCGCCGCGGUAA